rnacentral:rRNA from 1 species
CUAAGAAUAUUCCGCAAUGGAGGAAACUCUGACGGAGCGACGCCGCGUGGAUGAUGAAGGUCGGAAGAUUGUAAAAAUCCUUUUAUGACUGAGGAAUAAGUACGUUGAGAGAAACGGCGUAUGGUGACUGUAGGUCAUGAAUAAGCAACGGCUAAUUACGUGCCAGCAGCCGCGGUAACACGUAAGUUGCGAGCGUUGUUCGGAAUUAUUGGGCGUAAAGGGCAUGUAGGCGGUAUUGCAAGCCUGGUGUGAAAGGCGGGGGCUCAACCCCUGGACUGCGCUGGGAACUGCAUUACUAGAGUCGCUGAGGGG